GGUCCGUUCGGUUAGUGGUAGGCCCCGGGAUUCUCAGUCCCGUUACGCGGGUUCGAUUCCCGCACGGACUAC
rnacentral:tRNA from 2 species